UUAACCUUGGUUUGCAUUUCCUUAGGUCUGUGGCUUGAAUAACUUUGAAGUAAUAUUUACAUUAAGUCCUUGGAAGCAGUCAAACCUCUGUCUUUCUAAUUAUUAGUAGGAAAUGAAAUCAGCUCCUUUACUCCACUGCUGUUCUCAGAAGGGUGUCUCUCUGCUUUUCCUGGAAGGUACAGAAGUCCUGUGGACUUCAGUGGCUGGUCCAGGCAUCCCAGCAGGCUGUGUUCUAGUAACACCUAUGUCUGAGAAGGACUUGGGAGCCUCUUCCUAUGAGGACCUCUAAACAUUUUAAAAGCCAAAACAAAUGCACAUGGAACUGCACUUUUGACUGCUGAAUGCAUCAAACCAGCCUACCAGCCUCAGCAGAAAUAAGAAAGUAAUGGAAGUGGUCAACUCACAGAGAUGAAAGGCGAAAGAAAGGGUGUUUCUGGUUGGCAGAUGCUUCCAAGCAUAUUGCCUAUCCAAAAUUCCCAUGGGAAUGAGGGCAAAGCAGCUAACAUUGGCAGGGGAAGGAGGGGUGAGCAUCGCAAGAUCCCCAGCAAAGAGAAAAGACCACUCUGAGCUCAGGUACUUUGGAUACAUCACUGGCAGCAGCUCUGUAAGGCCCAACUGUUCACAAGCACCUGCUUGAUGCAUGAAGUGGUGACACCCCUGUGUUUCAGCAUUUUAAAUAAACACGUAUAUGAACUGUUCUCACCUGGCUUGUUUUCACGCAGCAACAGAGAGAGGAAGCACUUGUUGGUUGGCAGUGGAAAGGUAGGGCAGGGGCAAAUUUAAAACUGGCAGGGAAGGCAGAACAGACCACGUAAAAAAAUUUUAUCAGCCAAGGAAAAAUAAAUAUUAAAAAAAAAAAUUAAACUAGCCUAUAUCUUAAAUUUUGGGUCAGUUUUCUUUCGCACGUGUACUACAUUACCUUUGAAAGGCUUUUCACUAAAUCUAUCUAUACUUGGUUCUUUUUCACACUUCUGUAAAUUCAGAACAGUUGUGGUGUUUUGGGUUUUUCCCAUGUGCUUUAAGGGUUG